rnacentral:rRNA from 1 species
GAUGAACGCUGGCGGCGUGCUUAACACAUGCAAGUCGAACGGAAAGGCCCAAGCUUGCUUGGGUACUCGAGUGGCGAACGGGUGAGUAACACGUGGGUGAUCUGCCCUGCACUUCGGGAUAAGCCUGGGAAACUGGGUCUAAUACCGGAUAGGACCACAUUUUGGAUGGUGUGGUGGAAAGUUUUUCGGUGUGGGAUGAGCUCGCGGCCUAUCAGCUUGUUGGUGGGGUAAUGGCCUACCAAGGCGUCGACGGGUAGCCGGCCUGAGAAGGUGUACGGCCACAUUGGGACUGAGAUACGGCCCAGACUCCUACGGGAGGCAGCAGUGGGGAAUAUUGCACAAUGGGCGCAAGCCUGAUGCAGCGACGCCGCGUGGGGGAUGACGGCCUUCGGGUUGUAAACUCCUUUCGCUAGGGACGAAGCGCAAGUGACGGUACCUGGAGAAGAAGCACCGGCUAACUACGUG